UUGUCCAAAGAGUACUAAAAUUUUAUAUUUAAUAAAAUAUUAGAAAAUUUCACCACAUGUGAAAACAAAUUUUAUCUCUCAAAGGAAAAAAAAUUUACUGCUCUAAGAUUGAAAUAUUCAUUUUGUUCAUUUUUCUCAGGCAGAAAAGUCUUCAAUAACUAAUUUUUAUAUUAAUAGAGAUCUAUAUAUAGUUUCAAAUAUUCAUAAAAGCUAACCAAAGUCACUGAUAAUAGGUCCACUAAAAUGGCUAUAAAUAGCUCACAUAUCCUGGAGUGGGUUCCUGCUAAUUUAUUGUCUAUGUAAAUGUCGUAUAUAUGAUAUAUACACACAUACAUAUAUAUAAUUAAGAUGUGUAUGUGAGGUUAUGAAAAAUAAUUUUGCUAUGAUUAGUACAGAAUUGAUUUUAUUUUUCUGAAGAUGUUUUGCUCAAUAUAAGAAUUUAGCUGGGCGCAGUGGCUCACACCUGUAAUCUCAAUACUAUGGGAGGCUGAAGCAGGAGGAUCACUUGAGCCCCAGAGUUUGAGGCCAGCUUAGGUGAUAUAGUGAGAGCUCAUCUCUACCAAAAAUAAAAAAUGUAAUUAGCUGGGCAUAAUGGUACACAUCUUUUUCCCAGCUACUUAUGAGGCUGAGGCAGGAGGAUGUCUUGAACACAGGAGUGCCAGGCUUGCAGUGAGCCAUGGUUGUACUGCAGCCCAGCCUGUAUGACAGAGCAAGACCCUGUCUCAAAAAAAAAAAAAAAAAAAACUUUAAAUUUAACUUACAAAUCCUCCAGUAGUAUCAGAGCUUUUCACUGAGUACUACAAUUUAAGUCACAUAUUAAACUGAGAACUAUUUAUGUCUGCUUUGCCAACAAUUUAUAAAAUAUAAGGGUAAAAAGCAAGUAAAUAUUGAAUAUUUUCCUAAGUAAAUGUACACAUUUAGCUGAUUUUCAAUUUUAUUUUGUGUAGGUCUCUAGUACUACAGAGUAGUUUAUGCAAGAGAGAAUGUUCUAAUGCAUUCUAGCAUUUUUAAAUAAGUAACUUUAAAGCAUUAAUCAAUAGGCGAUCAUGUAAAAGCUUCCUGAUGUUUAGAUAUUCACCUGCAGUUUCUUUCUUUGGAUUUUGAUUUAACUAGAAAGCCAUUAACAGCGAGGAACCAGCUAAUACACAGGGAAGGCAAGGAAUUCUUGGCCCCUUCUCCUAGGUCUGACCAGGUCAGUACUGGGUUAUUAACCUAAAGAGGUGUGAUGUUUAAUUUUAUGUGUCAAUUUGAUCAGGCUAAAGAAUGCCCAGAUAGCUGGCAAAACAUUAUUUCUAGAUGUGUCUGUGUGGGUGUUUCUGGAAACGACUAACAUUUGAAUCGGCAGAUUGAGUAAAGAAGAUCACUUCACCACUUCACCAGUGUGCACAGGAAUCCUCCAGUCACUGAGGGCCUACAUAAACAAAAAGGUGGAGGAAGGGCAAAUUUGCUGUCUCCUUGAGAUGGAAAUUCUGACAACCUGGGACAUUAGUGCCUUUAGUUCUCAGGCCUUUAAACUCAGACCAGGACUUACACCAUCAGCCCCACGGUCCUCAGGCCUUCUGUCCUUGAUUGAAACUAUACCACUGGCUUUCCUGGGCCUCCAGCUUGCAGACAACAGAUUGUGAAGCUUCUCAGUCUCCAUAAUCAUCUGAGCCAAUCUCUCCUAAUAAAUUUCUGUGUGUGUGGAUGUGUGUGUGUGUGUGUCCUUUUGGUUUCAUUUUGUGUGUGUGUGUGUGCGUGUGUGUCCUUUUGGUUCCCUUUCUCUGGAAAUCAUUGAUUAAUAUAAGUGGUCCUCACUUAUUUUCAGAAAAUGGACAUAUGAUAAUCACUGCUUUGACUCUAUCCUCAGAAAUCUCACCCCAAGAUUUUGUAGCCAUUGACCUAUCAUCUUGAGAUCUGUCUACAAACAGGGAGAGAUUUAGAAUUCAACACUUACAUUGCUUCUUAAAGUCAUGUUACUAUUUUAAAAUGUCAAACUAUGUACUCAUUUUAAAUAUAUGACUGGGAAUCAGCUACAGCCCUAGGUACCUGUUAUAGCUGGUUUGGAUGCAACCUUCCAAAAGAUCCACAUAGGGUUCCUGCCCUUAGGAUGCUUUCAUUCUGGAGGUAGAUACAUACAGAUUAAAACAGAACAACAACAAAAAAAGGACAAAACAAACCCUUAGGCCAGUGAGUAUGGGAACUGAAGAGUUAAGUGUUGGAACGUGAGAAAACAUUAUGGGAAAAAGCCCAGGAUGAAACAGAGUAAGACACAUUCUGGAAACCAGAAGACAGUGGGUGGAUGAGGAGUGUGAGGAGGAAAAAGGACUAGCAAAAGAUAAGGCUAGAGGGGCAAGGGGACGCCAGACCAUGAAGGAUUGAAGCUUUUGAAUGUUAUCCUGGGGACAAUGGGGAAAUCAUAACAUCUUUAAAAUGUUAUUUUCAUCAAAGCACUGUGUAUACACAGUAACAUAUUUGAUCCAUGGACAAACUCAUGCUGAAAAGCAGUGCUCUAGUGUGCCCACACCUCCCUUCACAUACCAUUCCUAGGAAGCAACCUCCUCUUAACGUUUUCUUAUUUUAGGUCACUUGUUGGCUACCAACUCUGAAUAAAAUGCUGUUUCUUGAUGAUUCAUGCUAUUCCUUCCUUCUUUUCCCAAUUGUUGAUAAUCCUGCUAUUAUUUUUAGAAAUUUAAGUAGAGUCAGUAUCCCUUUCUCCUGCUAGGUAAGGUGAAGCUACAAGUGCUUCUAGUUCUCCCUCCAUCUUGGGAAUCCUUUUUAUUUCUCUCCCUUUGGCUGGCUAACAUUUUCCUUUAUUAUCACAAGCUUGUUAACAUCUACAGUCUAUUUUGAAAAUCUACAUAAAAUCCACACAGAGGAAAAUGCACAGUUACCAAGUGUAGAGUUGGGUGUUAGCAGUUGUACACAACUAUGUAACCAACAUCCCAAUCAAGAAAUAGAACAUCUCCAUUACUCCAGAAAGUUCUCUUGCUUCCCCUUUUAGCCCGUAAGCAACUCCUCUUCUGAUGUCUGUUCUAGAAAUUGAUAAAAAUCGAAUCAUACAAAAUGUACUAUUUUUUCACUCAAAGUAAAGUCAUGGAGACAUCCAUGUUUUUGUGUAUAACAGUACACCAUUUUCUCUGUAUUACUAAUUUGUAAAACUUGUUUGGGAUUUUCUUUUUAGUUUUUAGCUAUUACAAUUAAAACUGCUGUGAACAUCAUGAACAGCUAUUUUUGUAAACAAAGCUUUCCACUUGCUUUUGGUAAAUAUCUUGAACUAUUUUAAUAGGGAGCUGGCUCCUCCCUAUUACCUGCUUUCUAGUCAUAGGUUAAGUGUAUGUUUAAUGAGAUCAAGAUAUAAUGGAUUCUGGUAGCUUUAAAACCCAAUGUGUUAUGAUACAAGAAUGAAAUAACAUUAUUAACUUUAAGGAUUUGUAUAUCAGUGCUUUGUGAAUCCAAAAUUGUUGAAUCUUAUGUGCAGAUUAAUUCUGAGCACUUAUGUCUAAUAUUGCCCCAGCCAUCAGGAAAAUUAUUCCUUUGAUGUCCCCAAAGGAGAACUACCUCAGUGCAAUUUAAACUAAUGUGUAUAAUAGUAUCCCUGGCUCUUCAAAAUCUAGAUAAUCAGAUUCAUACUGCAUUUUAAUGAAAAAAAAAAAAGAGCUCUGAAGGAAUUGGGGGAAAUGCACAAGAAGGGUAACCUAAAAAUGAGAAAUAACUCAAACAUGUUGCUUUCUAAAAAUCUAAGUCAGUUGGGUACUCUCUUAUAUCCUCUCCUGAGGUAUUUAAGAAGAACAAAGAAUCCUCAGUUUUUUCUCUAGUAUACAACUGUGGCUUUGAGUUAGAAAUAGCAAAUAAAAUGCUCUCUAUCCUCGUUAGAUGUUACAAAACAGAAGGAAGUACCAAGGAAUAUAGUUACAUAAUGGUAAUGAAGCAAAUACAUAAAACAGAAAUUGAAUCUUAGAUACAGAACACUGCUAGGAAGAGAUAUUGGGCCUGGAGAAAUCAAAGGGAACAGUGGCAGAUAAAAAAACACGAGAAGCAGCCACUGCAGAGGAUAACGGGUGUAUAUUUUGGGGAUGCAUGGAAUUAAAAAUGAAUGUAGAAAAUUAUCAUCCAUCCACACAGCUAAAUAAAUCAUUAAAUAUUAUUUUAAUCAUAUGUUUCCCAAGUUAAUACAAAUAGAUCAAAGAUCAUUUUUAUUGUAGUGAAAUAAUUAUUUGCAAGGUCAUGAAAAGAAUUAUUUAAAUCUGUCUCCUAAACUAAUUUAAAUUUGAGUGUUUGCCUUACCUAGAGCUGUUAAUCCUUAAAAGCAGUUAUUAGCUAAAUUUGACUCUCCAAAGUAAAGUUUGAAAACAUGUACUUUCACCCAUGAUGGACCUUAAGCUGUAAAUACACAUCAACUUUUGUAUUAUCUCUUUAUAAAAUAUAUUUUGGAGAGUAAGAAAACUUGUUAACACAAAUUUGGCUACCAACAAAAGAAUGAAACAUAAAAGUCAAAUGAUGAAAAUACGAUUCAUUGAUGGAGUGCAUGGGCAAAGAAAGUAGUGUAACACUUCAAUUUCAGUGAAUAUGAUUCUUCUCUACAUAAUAGUUUUCCUGGACCUAAUUUCUUCUAAUAUGGAAAGCAAAAUCACAAAAUCUCUGAACCCAGUUUUUAUUCUUUUCUUUAUAAAAUAUUAUACUACUUUAAGUGUCAUGUAGAAAGGUAAUUUUGAUAUAAAUAUUUAUACUUUUUCUCAACCAAAAAUAAGGAAUAUAUUUAAACUAGGCAUGUGGACUUCUGCCCAUAUAUUAUCUAAAGUAAUAACUAUGGUGAGUUACAUUAUGAUUACUACUGAUAAUUAAUGCCAAUUAACCAUGAAACUAAAAUUCCCUUGAGUAAAAGGUAGAACCUGCCAAUAUAUGUUCCGUCAAAUAGACCUGAGCUGUCCAAUAGGGUACCACUAGCCAUAUGUGGCUACUGAGCCCUUAAAAAGAGGCUAAUUUGAGAUAAUGCUGUAAAUUUAAAAUAUAUACCAGAUUUUGCAGACUUAAUCUAAGAAAUGUUAAAUUAAAUUGCAGUAAUGCUUUUUUGUAUUCCUUACAAAUUGAAAUGAAAAUAUUUUUGACACAUUGAGCUAGAUAAGAUGUAUUGUUACAAAUAAUUUCACCUACUUCUUUUUACUUUUUUAAUGUUGCUACUAGAAAAUUUAAAAUUAUAUAUGUGGCUCACAUUAUAUUUCUAGUAGACAGCUCUGGCUUAGAGCCUUUAAAACAAAAUGAACUUCUGGUUCUCAUAGAUUUUUAAAGCUGUGGAUUCAUCUGACUUCAAAUUAAAAUGCACAAUGAUAUGUCCAACAUUUUUUGAGAAUAGCUGGCUAGUCGGACAAUUUACUUAUUAGAUAUAAUUCUAAGCUUUGACUUUAGACAGAAGAAAUGAUCAAAUUCAAAACACUUUUCCAAGAAAAUGUGUCUUCAAGCAAAAGACAGAAUCCAGUUUGCCUUUAAGAAAAAAACAAACAAACAUAAAUAUUUAGGAAUUUGAGGUGAUGAGUCAAGAUUUUGGUUUAGCAUAGAGUCCAGUUACCACUUAGAGAUGAGAGACAGAUUAAAAAUUAGAGAAGAUUUGAUAUAAAACACACAUUUAGUCAGGAUUACAAUCACUAGUCAGAAAAGACUUGAUUGAAUCAAUUUUCCUGUGAAAGUAAUUAAAACUAAGGCAAUGUUAUUUAAUGAAAUACAUAAGGCAUUUUAGUGUUUUUUACUAUUUACAGAUUAAUUUGUUAAUAAUUUACAUAGCUAAAAAAGAGAGAAGUGAAUAAUGAUGUCUUACUUUUGUCUUAAGUGAAAAAUUACUGAAAUACAUAUGAUGCUUAUUAAAUCACUAGUAGAUAUCACAAUUUUGGAAGGAGAAACACAUACACAAAUAUACUUACCUGAAGAGUAUUGGAAAGUAAGCCACACCAAUUUAAAAAUAUUUAGUUAAAUUUUAAUUAAAACAAGUUUAUUGUUAUACAUUUUAUUCCAAUAUAUAAACUAUUUCAUUAUGUAAGUUUUUGUGUUUUGAGCAUGUGUACCAUAAACGCUAUGCAAACAGUGACUUUGAAUCCUGGUUUUUAAUCUAUUUAAUAGGUUUCCUUGAAUGAUGGAAUGAAGUAAGGUAUACAAAUUGCCAAGUUCUGGCAGGGCUCAGUAGCUCACGCCUGUAAUCCCAGCACUUUGGGAGGCCAAGGCGGGCGGAUCAUGAGGUCAGGAGAUCGAGAUCAUCCUGGCUAACACGGUGAAACCCCGUCUCUACUAAAAAUACAAAAAAUUAGCCGGGCGUGGUGGCGGUGCCUGUAGUCCCAGCUACUCAGGAGGCUGAGGCAGGAGAAUGGCGUGAACCCGGGAGGCGGAGCUUGCAGUGAGCCGAGAUGGCGCCACUGCACUCCAGGCUGGGCGACAGAGCGAGACUUUGUCUCAAAACAAACAAACAAACAAAACCCAAACAGGUAUGCUUGUUUUUCCCUUUCUUCCCCACGAAUAUCCAAUUUAUAACUUCUUUUCUCUGUCAUUAUAUUUUACUGCCAUUAUAUUUUCUCUGUCAUUAUAUUAUACCUAGGUCAUAAUUUCUAAACGAUUCUUGAUUUUUUUUUUUUUUUUUUUUUUUUGAGACAGCGUCUCACUGUGUCGCCCAGGCUGGAGUACAGUGGUGCGAUCUCAGCUCACUGCAAGCUCCGCCUCCUGGGUUCACGCCAUUCUCCUGCCUCAGCCUCCUGAGUAGCUGGGACUACAGGCGCCCGCCACCACGCUGGGCUUAAUUUCUUUUUGUAUUUUUAGUAGAGACAGGGUUUCACUGUGUUAGCCAGGAUGGUCUCCAUCUCCUGACCUCGUGAUCCACCCGCCUCGGAUUCCCAAAGCGCUGGGAUUACAGGCAUGAGCCACCGUGCCAGGCUGAUUAUUGAUUUUUUUAAGGCAUAGAUUCACCAUUGACUAUGAAACUUAAUAAACUGAAUAUUUUGGGAAAAUAAAUUGUUGAAUUCAAAUAUAGUAGGAAGUUAUUUUGACUGAAGAAUGAUCCUAUAACCUGGGACAAAGAAAACUGACAAUAGACUAGAAAAUAGCAGCAGACGGCCAUGAACUCUUUAUAAAGUUAGGAGGCCAACACUCCCAGAUGACUUCAAUCUUGCUGAACAAUUUCAAGAAUUGAAGAAAGCAGCCACUUCUGGGAACAAUCAGUGGGAAGAACAGAUAUGACACUGUCAGGCUAGAAGAUUUCCAGACUCGGAGAUCUCCACCAAGGAAGCAUGACUCACUCUUCAGGACAGAGGUUCAGUCUGCAUUAUCCUUCAGUAUGUGGAGGUAUGUGCAACAAAGAAAUGGCAGAUAUUUCAUCUCACUCUUCCUUAAGGACAAGAUUCAUGUCUAAUUCAUCUUUCUAUUCCCCUACAGUGCCUAGCACUUUAAUGGCACCUGGUACUUUUUCACAUGGUAGAUGCUCAAAAAAUCUUUUGAAUGGAAAACACCUUAGCUUCACAAACUGUGAUUUGUUAAGAAACCUAGAUGCACUGGAUGGUAACGGGUCAGCUUGUAAACUAUAAUCGACUCUUUAGAUUCUCAGAGGUUUUGCCAAAUACCACCUCUGAACUCCAGCUGAUACUAAAGAAGCAAAUAAGAAAAAAAAAUUACUAGAUCCCAGCACCUCAAAUCUUAUGGUAACAUUAUAUAAUGAGUUAUGCAUAUAAUCAGUCAUGCAUAACAUGUUGUAUAAUAAGUGACAAUGAGGUUAUUAUAUGCAUACAUUAUAAUAUGUAUACAUCACAUAUAUACAAUAGACAUAUAUACAGUGUAUAUGUAUGUAUAUAUACACAAUAUAUACUAUAAUGUCCUUUAUUUUUGAAGCACUAUCACUCAUGCCAGUUGCUCUCUUUUAAUAGAGAUGGGUAAGUCCAAUGUGUAAUCCUCAUUUAAAUCCUAAAACCUCUUAUCCUUAUAUUUGAGGUUGCAACUGAUAUCAUUUACCUUGGAUUGUCAUUAGCCUAAUGAAGGCUUUGCCUUGGUAGUUACCCCAAAGUUAAGUGCUAACCAUUAUGCCCAGCAGUGUACACAAUUAUCCUUUUGUUCCUUGAAAUUAAGAUCACACCACUUAGCUUAUAAGGAUUAAAUUAAAUAUCUACAAUAUUCUAUAUAUCCUACUGGAUUCUGAAAUUAUAAGACACAGUCUUCCUUCUACUUGCUUCCAGUUUAGGGGGAGGCAAGUAAAGGUAAGUCUACUACUCUUGAUUUAUAAUAAUGCUAUUAUAAUGGUAAAAUACACAGAGUGUUAUAAAAACACAAAGGAAAAACAUGUAGAAUGGUUAAAAGAUAUGAAAGUCCUCAUAAAAGUGGCACAUGAGUUAAGUUUUCAAGAACAAGUAAGGGUUUGCUUGAGUUGCCCUGUGGUAUGGUUUGGCUAUUUGUCCCUGCCCAAAUCUCAUGUUGAAUUGUAAUCCCCAAUGCUGGAGGUGGGGCCUGGUGGGAGGUGAUAGUGGAGGCAGAUCCUUCAUGGCUUGGUGCUGUCUUUGUGAUAGUGAGUUCUCAUGACAUUUGGUUAUUUAAAAGUGUUUGGCACCUUUCUCUGUCUCUGUCUCUCUCUCUCUCCUGCAUCUGCCAUGCGAUGUGCUUACUCCCCGCUUCAUCUUCUGCCAUGAUUGUAAGCUUCCUGAGUCCUCCCCAGAAGCUGAGAAGAGGCCAGCACCAUGCUUCCUGUAAAGCCUGCAGAACUGUGAGACAGCUAACCUUCUCUUCGUUAUAAAUUACCCAGUCUCAGUUGACCCUUGGACAACACAGGUUUGAACUGUAUGGGCCCAUUUAUAAGUGAAUUUUCUUCCAUCUCUGCCACCCCAAGAAAGCAAGACAAGUCCCUCUUCUUUCUCCUCCUUCUCAGCCUACUCAGUGUGAAGAGGAUAAGGAUAAAGACCUUUAUGAUUAUUCACUUCCACUUAAUGUAUAAACAUAUGUUAUCUUCCUUAUAAUUUUCUUAAUAGCAUUUUCUUUUCUCUAGUUUACUUUCUUAUAAGAAUACAGUAUAUAAUACGUAUAACACACACAAUAACUAUGUUAUUGUAAGGCUUCUGGUCAAUAGUAGGCUAUUAGUAGUUAAGUUUUUGAGGGGUCGAAUGUUGUAUGUGGAUUUUCAACUGUGUGGCAGGUCAGCACCAUUAACUCUCAUAUUGUUCGAGUCAACUAUACUUGAAAUAAAAAGUUCUAACAGCAGGUCUAAUAGUCAUAUUUUCAAAGUUGUGAUGAGCAUAAAUGAUUUUUCAAAAUAUCUGCAAACAACUGUAAUGUGAUAUAUUCUCUGUGACUUCUAUUGGUGACAAAGUGACAGGUACUGCUAAUUACUUAUGUGGUUUGUGACCCACACCCAUAAUUAAUGAAUAUGCCAAAUUCCAAUUAGAGGUCAGUAACAAUAAAGAUGUCAUUUUCUCUGUCCAGGUUUGUGAAUUAACUGAAUUCUAUCCAUGUCAGUGAGCUACAGGUUAAAACCACCUAUUUUAGAAAGAUUUUAGAUUAAUUUUUUAAAUCAUUUAAACUUGGAGACUCUAUGAUUAACUUGACAUAAGUUUGGGGUAGGGGGAAAGUUGUAUAUAUAUUGAUAAAUGGGUUUGAGUUUUAAAAAUAGAAUAUAGCAUAUAAAUCAGUAGUAUUUUAUGUAUGAUAAUGAAAAAAAUCAGAUUGUAUAUAGGAUAUUUUCCUUACUAAAAAACUAUGGUCGCUCAUUCCUGGCCUUAUAUUCUCCCCUUAUAAUCAGCCCUUCUAAGUACUCCUGCUUUCUAUAUAAGUGUCUUUUUUUUUUUUUUUUUUUUUUGAGAUGGAGUCUUGCUCUGUCACCCAGGGUAGAGUGCAGUGGUGCAAUCUCUGCUCACUGCAACCUCCACCUCCCAGGUUCAAGUGCUUCUCCUCUCUCAGCCUCCCAUGUAGCUGGGACUACAGGGUGCGCCAAUGCACCUGGCUAAUUUUUGUAUUUUUAGUAAAGACGGGGAUUUCACCAUCUUGGCCAGGCUGGUCUCGAAUUCCUGACUCAUGUUCCACUCACUUCAGCCUCCCAAAGUCCUGGGAUUACAGGCGUGAGCCACCAUGCCUGGCAUAUAACUGUCCUAAUCUACUUGCAAACAUUUACAUUUUCCGAACAUUUUCAUGAAAAUUUCAUGGCUCCUGCCCCAGUGGUUAUCCUCAGUGAUCACUGGUACAGUGGUGAGGUCUAUAAAAUUCCCUCUAUUCCUUUCUAUUGCCAAGUAAAAUUCUAUUCUGUGGAAUCCAUGACUCUAAUUUGUUUGUCCAUUCCUCAAUUGAUAGACAUCUGGGUUAUUUCCAAUUUGGAGCAAUUAUGAACGCAGCUGCUGUAAACUUUUGAGUUCUCUGAAUCCAACCUUAGUCUUAGGCCCCAUGCACCAGGGCCUUGGGCUGGCUUUUCCCCAACUUUUCUGCCCCUCCCUCUUCAUGUGGCACCAAACUAUGCUCUAUAUG